rnacentral:rRNA from 1 species
CCCUUAGAUGUUCUGGGCCGCACGCGUGCUACACUGGUGAAUACAGCGAGCCUUAACCUUAACCGAAAUGGUUUGGGUAAUCUUGUGAAAGUUCAUCGUGACAGGGAUUGAUCAUUGCAAUUAUUGAUCAUGAACGAGGAAUUCCUAGUAAAGGCGAGUCAUCAUCUCGCUUUGAUUACGUCCCUGCCCUUUGUACACACCGCCCGUCGCUACUACCGAUUGAAUGGUUUAGUGAGAUCUCCGGAUUGGCUUCCUUGGUACCUUCGCGGGUCCAACGUGAAGCCGAGAAGCUGCUCAAACUUGAUCAUUUAGAGGAAGUAAAAGUCGUAACA